rnacentral:rRNA from 1 species
GACGAACGCUGGCGGCGCGCCUAACACAUGCAAGUCGAACGGGGUUCACCCUUCGGGGUGAGCUUAGUGGCGGACGGGUGAGUAACACGUGAGGAACCUGCCUUUGAGAGUGGGAUACCGUCUGGAAACGGACGUUAAUACCGCAUAAUGCAGCGAGGCCACAUGACCUUGCUGCCAAAGAUUUAUCGCUCAAAGAUGGCCUCGCGUCUGAUUAGAUAGUUGGCGGGGUAAUGGCCCACCAAGUCUACGAUCAGUAGCCGGACUGAGAGGUCGAACGGCCACAUUGGGACUGAGAUACGGCCCAGACUCCUACGGGAGGCAGCAGUGGGGGAUAUUGCACAAUGGGCGAAAGCCUGAUGCAGCGACGCCGCGUGAGGGAAGACGGUUUUCGGAUUGUAAACCUCUGUCUUCGGGGACGAAACAAGACGGUACCCGAGGAGGAAGCCACGGCUAACUACGUG